GAUGAACGCUAGCGGCAGGCUUAACACAUGCAAGUCGAGGGGUAGAAAUAGCUUGCUAUUUUGAGACCGGCGCACGGGUGCGUAACGCGUAUGCAAUCUGCCUUGUACUGGGGAAUAACCCGGAGAAAUCCGGAUUAAUGCCCCAUGGUAUUUUUGUGUGGCAUCACACGAUUAUUAAAGAUUUAUCGGUACAAGAUGAGCAUGCGUCCCAUUAGUUAGUUGGUGUGGUAACGGCACACCAAGACGAUGAUGGGUAGGGGUCCUGAGAGGGAGAUCCCCCACACUGGUACUGAGACACGGACCAGACUCCUACGGGAGGCAGCAGUGAGGAAUAUUGGUCAAUGGGCGCAAGCCUGAACCAGCCAUGCCGCGUGCAGGAUGACGGCCCUAUGGGUUGUAAACUGCUUUUAUACGGGAAGAAACACCUCUUCGUGAAGAGGCUUGACGGUACUGUAAGAAUAAGGAUCGGCUAACUCCGUGCCAGCCGCCGCCGUAAGAC
rnacentral:rRNA from 1 species